rnacentral:rRNA from 1 species
GACGAACGCUGGCGGCGUGCUUAACACAUGCAAGUCGAACGGAAAGGCCCUGCUUUUGUGGGGUGCUCGAGUGGCGAACGGGUGAGUAACACGUGAGUAACCUGCCCUUGACUUUGGGAUAACUUCAGGAAACUGGGGCUAAUACCGGAUAGGAGCUCCUGCUGCAUGGUGGGGGUUGGAAAGUUUCGGCGGUUUGGGAUGGACUCGCGGCUUAUCAGCUUGUUGGUGGGGUAGUGGCUUACCAAGGCUUUGACGGGUAGCCGGCCUGAGAGGGUGACCGGCCACAUUGGGACUGAGAUACGGCCCAGACUCCUACGGGAGGCAGCAGUGGGGAAUAUUGCACAGUGGGCGGAAGCCUGAUGCAGCAACGCCGCGUGCGGGAUGACGGCCUUCGGGUUGUAAACCGCUUUCGCCUGUGACGAAGCGUGAGUGACGGUAAUGGGUAAAGAAGCACCGGCUAACUACGUG